GAGUUUCUUGUCUUUGUUGUUGAUAUUAAUCGUUUGGUUAUUUUUAAUCUGGAUUAUAUCUUACGUUUCAUGUUGGUGUUUGUAAGUUUGGUUCCCUAUUUUAGGGCUUGUUGAUUUUGGGAAACUUUGGUUCCGUUCGCCGACAUAUUCUUCGGUGAUGCUCCGUGGUGAGCCGCUUAGUUUUAUAUCCCAUCUUUGUGUCCUUUUUAAUAUAAAAUUUAUAUAGCACAAAAGAAAUGGAGCUUCCGAGGGAAAACAAUGAAUUGCAAGCCUGAUACCACUAGAGUAUCCAUAGAAAUUGCUUACAUCAGAUGUGGGCAUUUUUCGGUUUAAUUAUGGAUUCGUCUUGGGUUCGGUUCGGUUCGGUUUAUAUGGGUCUAAUAAAAAUUUAACCAAAGUUAACUCUAAUUAGUUUUGUUUGGUUUGAUUUUAGUUCGUUUGAUUUUAAUUCGGUUUGGUUUGUGUUUGGUUCGGUUUAAUAUGGUUUUGUUUGAAGUUUAGUCGAGUUCACUUUUUAGUUUUAUUCUAGUUCAGUUACAAAAAUAUAAUUUAUAAAAACAUAAAAACUCAUGAUUCGACACUAAAUAAUUAUUUUUUCAUAUUUAAACGUAAAGCCAAACAUCACAAUGUAAAAGAUGUAAUCCAAUAAUUUUAUAUUAUUUUCUUCAAACCUAAUGUGGCAAUCUACUUUGGUGUUUACAUUCAGUACACCCUUCAGUCAAUAACUCAGAAAAUGGUGUUAGAAAGUGCUUAGGUGGUUAGUUCCAAGAAAAUUUCAUCAUCCUCAACUGACUUUGUUUUGACCCAAUAAAACAAUAUAACUGACAUUCAAAACAAAAUACAACAUCAGUAAGACCUCCUCCAAACUUAACCAACAUUGUCUCCAAUAUUAUACAGUCUGAAAUUGGCAAAAGAAAUAAAUAAAAAUUGUAAAAAUUGAACAAGGAAACUCGAGUAUACAUGCAUGCGGUAAUGAGUGUCGAUCGACACUGUUAAGUGCCGAUUGAUGCUCAUGUGAAGUAGUGUCGACCAACACUUGCCAGCUGCCGAUCAAUGCUGGUACUUGAAUCGUUUUCUUCGUCUUUUUUUAUAAAAUUAAAAAAAAACGAAAAGUACCUAAUAGUGGGUUGCUUCCCACUCAAUGUCUGUUUAUAGUUUUUAGCUUGACGUUUGGAAUUUUAAAUUAGGCUUGAAGCGAAUGAGAACUUGUUGGAAAAAGAGUCUCAACAUCUUCUGCAGUCAUUUUGAACCAACAGCCCACAAAGCGGCAUCGUCACCUCUUGCUCUUUGUUGUUAUUAUCUCCUCACAGUAGCACCAAUCUGAUACACACGAACUUCCAGCAUACUUCCACGGUUACUUAUCCACUCGAUCUUGUUAUUCUGCUGGAUGUAGGUUGCAUCCAGCUUUCCACAUAAAUCAGCUACCAUUUUUUCCUGGCCUAUAAAGAUAUGUUCCAGCAUAGCAUGUUUAUUGCUUCUUCUAGUUGUUGCUGAUGGAAUUUGAUAAGAGGAGGCAAUGUAGUUCCUUAUGGUUUUGUUGUUCCUUUGGAAGGGUCUAAGAGCCUUAUGUGUCAUGUGAUUCUCAUUUCCUACCAUCACAAGACAUUAUGAGUAUAUCAGAGAUUGCAGCCUCUGAUGCAUUAAUAAGUUCACCUUUAUUCACUACAAGAAAUAUGUGUAUUGGUAGCAGUUCGUGGUAGCACGAAUUCACGAACUGCUACCAAAAGUGUCAAAAUUAGAUCAUAAUUCUAUUGUAGCACUAAAUUCGCGCUACGGAAAUGUUUUAUUAAAUAAAAACGCAGAAAUCAGUUUUGUAGCGGGAAUAUCAUUUUGGAGGCAAAAACACUUGACUGAAAUUUCACAUUCGCACCAACAAAAAAAACUAAAGUUAUUUUUUGCCUAAGUAAGUUAUUUUUCACAAAGAAGUAAAAGAAAAAUCAUUAUGUCUAUCUUCUUCUUCGCUGUUCACUUAGACUUGAUCUAUCCAUUCCAAUCGAAGAAACUCGAAUGGAUUGGCCUAGUUCAAAGUCGGACUGAGGAACCCUAUUCCGUCAAGCCACUAGAUCUCGUCGCCGUAGACUCUUCUUCUUCUUCUUUCCGAAACUCCUCCAUCCAUGGCGAAUUGGCUCCUUCGCCUUCCUCUGUCGCUCCUUCGCCUUCAUCACAUUUGUCGUCUCUCACUUCUUCUUCCUCUUAUUCUUCCUCUUCUUCUGCCCUUCGUUUUAUUGAUUUCAAUUGAAUAGAAACUAAAACUCUAGAGGGGACCCGACUCUUUAAACCUUUUUUGGUUUAGUUUGAUAAAAUAAUUUUAACUAUAAAAUCUAACACAAGAAAACUAUUAAUUAAAUUUCAAUACAAAAUAUUAAUUAAAUUUCUAUAAGAAUUCGGUAAAAAAACAUAAUAUAAUAAAGACAAAUAAAAGAAAGACAAAAAACUUAAUCGGAUACCCUACACAUAAAACUCAAACCCUACGUACAAAACCAUAAUUUCAUCUUUAUUUAUUUAAUUGGUUACUUUUAAAAAUAUUUAAACACAUAAUUUAAAUAUAAAUUAAAACCUAAAUUAUUUCAUUGGUUUGGGGGUAUCGCUUAAUCCAAACCAUUAAAGCUGACGAAAAAAUCCAAAACAUUAAACUUAUAACUUAAUUCAAAACAAUAAACAUAUAACCUAAAAACCCUAUUCCCUACACUCUAAACUUUAAAGACAACCCCAAACCUUGUAUUUUAAUUUAUAUGUCUGAGUGUAAAUCAAAGGAUAAAAAUGAUAACUAGAGUUUUGAUAUAAUUAUAGAAUAGUUUAUAUGCAAACCCUAAAUUUUAUAACUUAACCCCAAACCCUAAACCCCAAAACUUAACUAUCAACCUCUAAUGUAUACUUAAUCAUAUAUAAACAUUUUAAACAUUAGUUAUAUCAAAUCUAUUUUAAUCUAUUUUCAAAACUUAAUCUCAAAUUCUAUACCAUAAAUCCCAAACCUUAUACAUUAGACCAAAAACUUUAGUAAUCUAAUUACUCUACUAAAAUCUAUUCCUUAUACAAAAUUAUAACUUUAUAAAUUUGUUUUUCAAAUUUUAAUUUAACCAUAAUUCUAUAUAAUAAGCCUCAAACCUAUAAUAUAUAUUUUAAAAUGAACUCCAAGUAUAUUCUAAAAUUCAAACCCUAAACAUAAACUUUAAAAUCUCAAUCUUUUGACAUAUAACUUCAGGCUUAGAUUUAAAUUCAAAACCUAAUCUUUUUGGUCUUAAUUUAUAACUUCUUAAACAAAAACCUUAAUACUGAAAUUUACUAAAUAUAAACUUCAAAUCCAAAUUUCAAAUAUUUAAUACUUCGAAUUUAAACUCCAAAACACAAACUUUAAUUUGAAAAUUAAACCUUAUAUCAUGAUAAUAAAAUUUUCAUUUUACACUUUUAGUCACGAAAAUAAAUUAUAAACUAUAAAUAAAAACUUUUAACCCAAACUCUGAACUUAAAUAUCUUUUUCAGUUAUACUUUUAACUGAAAAUUGUAAACUUGAUUUAAUUUAAAAAACAGUGUACAAUAAAGAAGAAGAAAAACAAAAAGAGAAAAGAGAAAAAAGUCUUGACCAAUGAGAGAGAAUGACGAGGAUAACAAGGAUUGCAUUUUAAGCCGUUGAUUUUAUUUAAUCUAAUGGCCCAAAUCUAUUUUUCCUCCUUCUCUCCCUUACGAAGAAGCCUCUUCCUCUUUCUCACUUCUACCAAAACGUUUUAUGUCUUUCUUCUCACUUCCUCUUAUUUUUAUCUAAAAAGUCUUGUAUAUUUCUCUAAUUGUUUGUUGACUGAGCCUUUCCAUCUCUCUUCUUCGUUUCUGUUCUCUGUAGAUCGAAAGUAGUUUGCUCCUUAUCUUAUUCUCUCGUACGUCUCUGCACCAUUUCUCCAACCAAGAAAAAGCCUCACAGUUCUCACGGCAAAGAUGCUCACAGAGAAAGGAAGAAGCCGGAUCUGAAGCAGUUGUGGUGUGGAGAUGGCAAAGGUUUUAGCGGUGGUGGUGGUGGUGGAGCCGCGGAAUGAACAGCGGAGGGAGAUGUUGGAGCGCUGUGUUGACGGAGACGGAGGCGCAGCUGAUAUGCGGCCGUUUAGGUUUAGGAUUUGUUAAUUAGGUUUUGGUUAGUUAGGUUUGGUAUAAUGUCUUUUAAUUAGUUUUUGGUUUAGGGGUGUUAUUGGUUUAUGUAUUUUAAUGAAUUUGAAAAUCCAAACCAAAUACAGUGUUAUUGUUUUUAUGA